GUCUCUGUAGCUCAGCGUUUAGAGCGCGGCUCUCAUGAGGCCGAGGUCAGGAGUUAAAAUCUCCUCAGAGACA
rnacentral:tRNA from 1 species